CUCUGACCACUGAUUUACACUGCAAGUGUUAAUGCCAUUCAAAUCAACACCACGAUCAACACUUUUUAACACUGAUAAAUUAACACCAUAAAAACAACACUAAACAACACUGGAUAUUUUGCUGUGAUUACUAAGUAAAAAAAAUUAAUAUCGCUCCCUGGAAACUACGUCAGUAAAUAAUGGGCAGGAGGACAAACUGGCGCUAAAAUCUCAAGAAAGAUGCAGACGGACAAAACAUGCGUUAGUGGUGCAGACACCGCUGAAAACGAAACCCCGUCAUAUUGAACUCGAAGGAAAUGAAGUGAACCCCUGGCCAUAUUUAUGCUCUAUUAUGCAGUGUAAGCUGUGCUUGCCUAGGGAGACCAAACUAGCAGCUUAUAAAAUCUCGACAAGACAUCAACCCUUUGCAAGCAUGUAGAGUGUGACUCCCACAGUUCAGAGCACUUCACUGCUUUUCUGCUGCACAUUUCUCUGUUUGACAAUAAUGGGCAACUAUGACAUGUCUGAUCAUAUUUAUGACAACACCAACUGGAUGAAAAAGGAUUCAUUUGGAAUUAGGAAAUCUGCCAAAAAGAAGCAAUGUAGACCUAUCUGUGCCAAGGUUCUUGCUGUUCUCCUCAUCCUGUCUCUGCUGGUUAAUGGAGUGCUGGCAUACUUGUAUGUCAAUAAUUAUAAAAAUGUGCUGUUGCAGUGCGAGCCAGGAACAAACUGCUCAAAUUCAGACCAUCAUCAAGGAAUUCCGGGCUGCACAUAUGAUGAGGACUGGAGGUCAAUAACCUACUGCCCAGAUUUGCCAGAGCAGUGGUAUAAGGGCAACGGCAGAUUUUACAUUUUCUCCAGUCACAACAAGACCUGGAACUCCAGCAGAGAGUAUUGUCAGGAUCUGGGUGGAGAUCUGGUCAUUAUCGACAACACAGAGGAGAAGGAAUUUCUUGCUCAGAGACUAUGUGUUGCUGGUGAAUCUGAUCUCUACUGGGCUGGGAACAAGGAUGGGAACUGGUCAGAUCUGAAUCCCAAAUACAACUGUGCUGUUCUUAAAGGAAAUACACAAGAAAACAUUUAUUGCUUAAGAGAAGAGAAGAGCAUUUGUGAGAUCCCAUGCCUUCAGUAAACCUACAAUAAAUGACUUAUUUUUUUACAGUUGACUUUCUGUUUUAUUUCACAGUGCACUCAUUUAAAUAUAAGAGCUUGCUACAUUUGAUGUUUUUUCUUGUUUACUUGUUUUCACAUUUCCAUACUAUGCCAUGUUUGAUAUGGGAAUCUAC
ensembl:lncRNA